rnacentral:rRNA from 1 species
UAUUCCUACGGGGGGCAGCAGUGGGGAAUAUUGCACAAUGGGGGGAACCCUGAUGCAGCGACGCCGCGUGAGUGAAGAAGUAUUUCGGUAUGUAAAGCUCUGUCAGCAGGGAAGAAGAAAGACGGUACCUGACCAAGAAGCCCCGGCUAACUACGUGCCAGCAGCCGCGGUAAUACGUAGGGGGCAAGCGUUAUCCGGAUUUACUGGGUGUAAAGGGAGCGUAGACGGCAGGGCAAGUCUGGAGUGAAAGGCAGGGGCCCAACCCCUGGCCUGCUUUGGAAACUGUC